rnacentral:rRNA from 1 species
AUGAAUAUCGCCCUCCUAUCCCGCUGGCUCUGGCGCAUCUCGCAAGGCCAUGGUGGCCUCUGGCUCGACAUCAUCCGGAACAAGUACCUGCGUGGACAGCCCCUUGCCUUUUGUCAGAGAUCUGGCGGCUCGCAGUUCUGGCAGUCGGUCGUCCAGCUUCUCCCUAUCCUUCGCAUCGGGACUUCCAUCUCGGUGGGGUCCGGAACAGCGACUUUGUUCUGGUUUGACCGGUGGGCUGGAGACACCCCCUUCGCCGCGCGCUUCCCCGACCUUUUCUCCAUCGCUGUAGACCCCUUGAUCUCAGUUGAGAGGGCCCUUAUUGACUUAGGGCGCCUUGCUUUCCGGAGGCCAUUUGCCCCCCCCCCAGAGUCCGCUGCUUGGUGUGAAUUACUGGAUUGCGUUGCUCUCCAUGAGCCUGUGGUGGACGGUGGCCCGGACCAGGUGAGAUGGCGGCUCGAGCCAUCGGGCCAAUUCUCCACCAAGUCUCUCUACCAAGCCAUCGCCCCCUCCUCCGCCCCUCCCCCCUUUACGGUGUGGUCCAUUCGCCUGCCUCUGAAAAUCCGGAUCUUCAUUUGGCAGUGGAUUCGCGGUCGGAUCCCGUCUGGCGUCGAGGUUCGCAAGCGCAAUGGUCCGGGCACCGGCCUUUGCCCGCUUUGCGGUAUCCCCGAAGACUCGAAUCACAUCUUCUUCUCCCGCGUGUCCGCGCAAUUCGUGUGGAGCUGCUUCCGCUAG